rnacentral:lncRNA from 1 species
CCGCAGAUAGUACACCGGCUAUCUAUCCAUCUAUCUACUCAGCUUUGCGUCCUCCCGCGAAUUCACCGCAGCAAUGGCGUCCCUCGUCGCCGUCCAGCCUGUCGCCGUGAAGGGCCUCGCCGGCAGCUCCAUCUCCGGCAGGAAGCUCGCCGUCAGGCCGUCGCCCCGGGCGCUCUGCCGCACCACCCGCAGGUACAUACGAGGAGUACGCGAGUAACAGUGGAGAUGCACUUGAUAUUGCAGUGGCAAGAGGUGUAUGUGGUUUCAAUCCCGAGAUCCCGUGUUCAAUUCUUAUCACGCUCAUAAUUUCUUUGCUACAGGCCGCGCGCCGCCGUGGUGGCCAAGUACGGCGAGAAGAGCGUCUACUUCGACCUCGAGGACAUCGGCAACACCACCGGGCAGUGGGACCUGUACGGCUCCGACGCGCCGUCGCCGUACAACCCUCUCCAGGUUAGUAUUACCUGACUAAAAUAUAUACUUAGCUCGAUGAUUAAUUUACUGAAUAAUUCGUGUGGGUGAUCGAUGCAGAGCAAGUUCUUCGAGACGUUCGCGGGGCCCUUCACCAAGAGGGGGCUCCUGCUCAAGUUCCUGCUGCUCGGCGGCGGAUCGCUGGUGGCCUACGUCAGCGCGUCGGCGUCGCCAGACCUGCUUCCGAUCAAGAAGGGCCCGCAGCUGCCGCCGACGCCCGGCCCACGCGGCAAGAUCUAAAUUAAAUUCCUCGUCUCUGCCUCACCUUCUUCUUGAUCCGAUCCAUCCAUGCAAAUCCUCUGUACUGUACUGCUAGUCCCCCAUGGCCGGAUCGCCAUGGAUUAAUUCCCC